CUGCCUCGGCCUCCCAAAUAGCUGGGAUUACAGGUGUCACCACCACGCAUGGCUAAUUUUUGUAUUUUUAGUAGAGAUGGGGUUUCACUGUGUUGGCCAGGCUGGUCUCGAACUCCUGACCUCAGGUGAUCCGCCUGCCUCGGCCUCCCAAAAUGCUGGGAUUACAGGUGUGAGCCACCAUGCCCGGCCAGGAGUUUAUUUCUGAUUCAGCUGCAAACAUGGUAGACUGUAAGCUCUCAGUGGGCAGCUCGGAUUUGCUGGUAUCUGGGCUCUAGGGUCUAAAAGGCUGCCUGGCACCAGCAGCACUUAACAAGUUACUUUUAAUUCAAGGUCGGUCUCAUGGGCGGGGCAAGGGGUUGAAUGUUCAUCCCAAACACACUUAUUCCUUCACUGCCUCACACGCACAACUCUGGUCAAUUGGUGCUUGUGGUGGCCAGCUGUUGGGUUGUGUGACUUGCCCUGCCUUCUGAGAGCUGCACACUGCUCCCCUCCUCUGCUGCAGAGCUCCCUGCAGCCAUAUUCUGCUGCACAAGCCUGUCCUUGUAGCCACAGCUGAUGACACAGGGAGAGUACCCAUGUAAGGCAGGCUGACCAAGUCCUGUCCCUGGGAAAAGAAGAGCCAAGAAACAGACCCAGAAAGUUGGCCUGAGGGGUUGGAUUUGUACCAGUUUUACCUGGAAGAUGCUGGAGGUCUUGUCAUUUGUCCCAUCAACUGGAGAAGGCGGCCAUGGAGAGAAGGGCAGUGCUGCCGUACAGAGAGGGUCCAGGUGACAUUUAAUGCCGGCUCCAGCUUUCCCAAGGCUCUGCUGCACCCCUCCCUGAAAUUCUGAAUCCACUCUGGAUUCUCAAAACAACGCCCCUCACCCACUCUUGUUUUCACCUAAGUCAUUUCUAGUUGGUGCGUUUCCUUUACUUGCAGCCAAAGGAUUCCUAGCAAGUACAAGCUUCUGACUUCACAGAGAGGCCAUGGUAAACAUCCCAAGGAGUGCAUCAGCCAUGGGUUCAGGGAUUUCAGCCACUGCAUAGAAGACAAGCUGUAACCUAAUUCAAUCACACUUGGCAGCAACCGGUGAAGAGGCAGUCUGGGCUCUGGGGAGCUCCCCCGUGACAGAUGGAAGGGGCCCCUACAUCUGGAGAGGCUCUAGAACCUCCUCCCAGUGAGGCUAACGUGGUCUGAAGGGGUCUCUUUGCCCAGUGACAUUCUGGGGUUGGGAUCUGGGAUUUCCUCCAUUGCUUCCUUACAUCAACAUUUGCUAAAGCUCAAAAGAAGACCUUCCACGUAAUGACAUCAAACAGAUCUGAAACCACAGUUAAAGUAACGUCCACUUAACACUUGGUCAGCACUCAUGUUUCAUUUUGUGUGCCGUGGAAAGAAAUACAGGCUCCUGUGCCAUGGGAUGUUAACUCUUUUAUUAAUUUAGGGUUAACAUUGUACUUGCUUCAUUGAUUUCUCUUUCAGAGUUGUAGAUUCAAUAAACAACAUCUGGGUUCUCUCCAGCUCACAGGUGACAAGGCAAAUGCACUGUCGUCAAACAGGGGAGCAGGACAAUAUGGAGAAAGACGAGGUCGAAAAAAUUUAAGGCAAAUGUUACUUCCCUAUUCAAGGGAAUUGAUCAAGCAGAUCUGUGCAUUUCAAUGAAAAUAUAUGAAAUAUUUGUCAAAAUAAUUAACAUCGGUAAAAAUUAGAACAUGUAGCUUAUAAAAUGCCUACACAGGUUUGGCAGAAUAAAUCCAACUGUGUCAUGUAGGCUUGUAAUAUACACAGACACAGGAGUUUCCACCUUAAAAACGAGUCUUCUGAAGGGCAGAGGCCAAAUGUAUUUUAAAAGCAAUUCCAUAAAAUGGGAAGUGAUGGAUGAUUAACAAUGCAUGGCUGGCUUUACAUUUUGUUCAGAGGAAUUGCUUGGCCAUCGGGGUACCUUUUGGCUGGCCACAGAAUGCCUCCUGUUGCCUCUCCUCAGAAGGCUCUGCAUCAGGUCGAGGUGGUCGUUCAGGCCAUGAGACUCCUGAAGACACAGACAGAACACGGUAACAAGGAGAGCUCGGCUUGCUCAAAGGAGAGCGCUGCGGGGGAUAGAAUCUUCUGGUCUGGCUUUGGAAUUGGACUUUCUAAGCCACUGCUGCAGUUUCAGAAGUAGCUGACUAUGUAGAAAUAGAUACUCCGGCCCCAGUGGUCAUACAUUUUAUGCCCUCAAACCUAUCUUAUUUAUAGUCUGACCAAACCGUCCCCAGACUGCUCAGUGGCAGGCAACGAGCAGGUAGACUGCUGGCCCUUUGUCACAUGUGAGGAUGGCCCAGGGUUCGCCAGCUGGGCCGGGGAGAUUUACUACACAGCCGCAGAAAAGCACGGGGAGAAGAGUGAUGUGUGAUGCCAAGCGCCUUUCUUUUCUGCUUUGGUCUUGAAGAUUCAGUAAACUUAUGGUCCCAGAAGCUGCUCCAAAGCCAGAGCUGUGGAUUCCCAGAAUUCAUUUUGUUCCUGUUAGUUUGUCGGAAGACUGGAGCCAACAAGCAGCAUUUGAGAGGAUAUCACCAUUUUAGGAACACCUCCUUAAGAGCCACCACCCACCUGGCUUGGGUGCUCAGAGAUGCUGCUCCUGGGGAGAUAAAGCUGUCAGGUGCAGGGCGCCGCUCCUGAAACAGACUCUGGCCGACAGUCUGGAGGAAGGUGGACGGAUGGAUGGAUGGGAGUGCCUGCCCUCUGUGGGCAGCUAGGCACCCUUACCCGGCCAGGAGGCACGUGCGGCAGCAGAACUGAAUGAAGAGCUUCCGUUCGCACAGCCGGUUGGACUUCACCAUCUCGCAGAAUGUCUCGUCAGCUGGGGCCCCGCAUCAGGAAAGGCAAAAGAGGGAAAGGUCAGUCUUCGGUGCCUGUGAAGAUUGUUUCAAGGCCGGGCGCGGUGCCUCAUGCCUGUAAUCCCAGCACUUUGGGAGGCCGAGGUGGGUGGAUCACCUGAGGCCAGGAGUUCGAGACCAGCCUGGCCAACGUGGUGAAACCCGGUCUCUAUUAAAAAUACAAACAAUUAGUGGGGAGUGGUGGCGGGUGCCUGUAGUCCCAGCUACUCGGCAGGUUGAGGCAGGAGAAUGGUGUGAAUCUGGGAGGCGGAGCUUGCAAUGAGCCGAGAUCGCCCACUGCGCUCCAGCCUGGGCGACAGGCGAGACUCCAUCUCAAAAAAAACGAAAACAAAAACAAAAAUUAGCUGGGCAUUGUGGUGCACGCCUGUAGUCCCAGCUACUCGGGAGGCUGAGGCAUGAGAGUUGCUUGAAUCCCAGAGGCAGAGGUUGCAGUGAGCUGAGGUCACACCAGUGCACUCCAGCCUGGGCGACAGAGUGAGAGUGUGUCUCCAAAAAAAUUUUUUUU
rnacentral:lncRNA from 1 species